AGCAGUAGGGAAUCUUCGAGGCCAAUGGACGAAAGUCUGACCGAGCAACGCCGCGUGAGUGAAGAAGGUUUUCGGAUCGUAAAACUCUGUUGUUAGAGAAGAACAAGGAUGAGAGUAACUGUUCAUCCCUUGACGGUAUCUAACCAGAAAGCCACGGCUAACUACGUGCCAGCAGCCGCGGUAAUACGUAGGUGGCAAGCGUUGUCCGGAUUUAUUGGGCGUAAAGCGAGCGCAGGCGGUUUCUUAAGUCUGAUGUGAAAGCCCCCGGCUCAACCGGGGAGGGUCAUGGAAACU
rnacentral:rRNA from 1 species